CGUACACUCCUGCGGGAGGCAGCAGUGGGGAAUAUUGCACAAUGGGCGCAAGCCUGAUGCAGCCAUGCCGCGUGUAUGAAGAAGGCCUUCGGGUUGUAAAGUACUUUCAGCGGGGAGGAAGGCGAUAAGGUUAAUAACCUUGUUGAUUGACGUUACCCGCAGAAGAAGCACCGGCUAACUCCGUGCCAGCAGCCGCGGUAAUACGGAGGGUGCAAGCGUUAAUCGGAAUUACUGGGCGUAAAGCGCACGCAGGCGGUCUGUCAAGUCGGAUGUGAAAUCCCCGGGCUCAACCUGGGAACUGCAUUCGAAACUGGCAGGCUAGAGUCUUGUAGAGGGGGGUAGAAUUCCAGGUGUAGCGGUGAAAUGCGUAGAGAUCUGGAGGAAUACCGGUGGCGAAGGCGGCCCCCUGGACAAAGACUGACGCUCAGGUGCGAAAGCGUGGGGAGCAAACAGGAUUAGAUACCCCUGUAGUCCCAUGAU
rnacentral:rRNA from 1 species